AACAGACAUUUUCCGACUGUGGGUCUGCGUCCUCAAGGGCACAGAGCUCCGCGGAGCCCCGCCCUUGGUCUCGCCCCGUAGGUCGCCGUCGGUUGCCUAGCAACCCCAACACCUCCCACACUCUCAGGUGAGGCAGCAGCUGUCCCUGAGCCGGCGAGUGCUUGAACGAUGCCCCUCAGGGCCCGCGGCGCCCGGGGACGGCGACCGGGAGCGCUGGGCUGCGUCGCGGGAGACCUCAGACGUCGCAGGGCCGGCAGCAGGGCUUCUCAUCUUUAAAGUGGCCUUGUCAGUGCCUGCUGAGCAGUCGGGUAAGGAAGUGAGGGCAUGGAGGGAGCGUGCAGCACACACGCCAGGAGCAUCAUCGCUGGGCCCGGGAUCCACUGGCUGGCCCCUGCUACUGGUGGCUGCACAUGAAUUGUUUGGAUAUUUGAUCUACAUCUUGCCUGGUGCAGACACAGCCGUUGCCUUUGUACCUGGAGGGUUACCUCCGUGUGAGGGAUGUCUCAACAUCUGCCCAUCACAGUCCUCAGGGGUGUCUUCCAGACUCCGUGAAUCUAACACCCGUGCCAAGCAUUUGCACUUCCCUGCGUGCCUUCAGGAUGCAAGGCAGAGGGGCAAGCUAGUUACAAAAUGUAACUCCCAACAGGACUCUUUUUAAUUAUGCCUGCCAUGAUCAAGAGUGACUUUUUAUCCUUCCAUCAAAUGAGACACCCUAAUUUAUGAUUAUUGCUGAGCUUUAAAAAUAAAGACAACACUUAAAAAUGCUCCUGUUGUCAUUGUCUCUUAUUCUUCUGUCAUUUAGCUGGGUGGAAGCAGGUGCUACAAGGGGCAGAAGUGGCUAAACUUUUUCCCUUCUUCCUCCUCUUUUUCCUUUUAUACCUGGAGAAUGUUUUCUUGUCCUUACUUUUCGCUGGUUAAGAGCCUUCCUCUUUUAUUGCACUACCUUUUAUCGCUAUGUAACUGAGUGCAUGAUUCCUUAAUUCUGCUCUUCUUCAGGUCUGAUGACGACAUUUGUCUGGAAGAAUUUCUCCUCUUUCCAGAUCCUGCAGCCACCCUUCGUAAGCUUUAGAUAACAUCACUCUGAGGCAAGGUGCGGCACUGAUGUGACCAAUACGGCAGCAGGGACACACAGACAAUAGCUGCAGAUACUAGGCUCCUGCUACCUGUGCCGACUACUUACUCCUUCUCAGUCUCCUCUGCAGGUUGCUGCCAGCUUCCCUGAGUUUCAUGUGGGCAUAGCCUGGGCACAGCCCUUGACUUCCUACUCUUCAAUCUGCACUUGCUCCCUUGGUGAUCUCAUUCAGUUUCAUGCUGUAAAUCUCUUGUACAAUCUCAUGACUCCAAAGCUAUCUCUUAGCCUCAACUUCUUUCCUAAACUCCAAUCUUAGGUAUCUAACUACC